UACGAAGGGGGCUAGCGUUGCUCGGAAUCACUGGGCGUAAAGCGCACGUAGGCGGAUUUCUAAGUCAGGGGUGAAAUCCUGGAGCUCAACUCCAGAACUGCCUUUGAUACUGGGAAUCUCGAGUCCGGGAGAGGUGAGUGGAACUGCGAGUGUAGAGGUGAAAUUCAUAGAUAUUCGCAAGAACACCAGUGGCGAAGGCGGCUCACUGGCCCGGUACUGACGCUGAGGUGCGAAAGCGUGGGGAGCAAACAGG
rnacentral:rRNA from 1 species